rnacentral:lncRNA from 1 species
AUAGUACACGAUACAAUAGAAAUUGAGAUAAAUAUAUCAUGAAUAUACAAUAGAAAUUGUGUCUAUCCUAGUUGCACUCAGGCUUUAGCUAAUCUUCCACAAACUCUAGAGUUUCCUUGUAGUUGGAGAACUGGUACAAUAUCAAGCUCGUGUUGAGCUUUUCUGCUUGUAUAUGGCACAUUAUGUGCACUAAUUACUUGGUAUUGGAUAUAAAGUCCUGACCUAUUUAAUCUCAUGCUUCAUGUGUUACCUAAAAUUNNNNNNNNNNNNNNNNNNNNNNNNNNNNNNNNNNNNNNNNNNNNNNNNNNNNNNUUGCUCACCUAAAAUCACUCUUUAAGGUCGCAGUCCCGUUGUCGAGAUGAACUAAAUAAUAAAUUUCAAGCUUGAUAUUGAAAGCUACUCCCAUAUUUCCCUUCAGCGUGUAUACACUUUAACCAAUAGAUCUUGAAAGACAUCAACAACUGUUGAACCUCGCAAUACAACAUUGUGAAAUCAAAGAGUACACACAUUAAAUUAUGGAGACUUUAAGUAACUAAAAAAUCUAAUAUGCCUCUUUGGAAUAUUGGCAGGAUCUUCCUUUAUAACCUUCGCCUAUGAAAUAAUCAUCUAUUUUGUACCCCCCCAUUGCAUUGCAUUACACUGUCCACUAUACCAUAUUUAAAAAAAUAGAAUUUAAAAUAUUUGAUCGGAUACAUCAAAUAUGGAAGUCUCCACUUUGAAUUUGGUGCCUCUGGCAGCUUGAACUUGAAGGUGUGCCAUGUGUUACCUGCAAUGAUGUGUCCAUUUACAAACAUAGUUAGCCACAACUCUCAACCUCACCAUUGAAAGUUAAAAUGUUUAUUAAAGUUAAAAGUUAAAAUGUUUAAUCAAGAAACAUACAUACAUGCUUAUUAUAGUUGCAGCCACAUGAUUAUGUGGUUAAAAAUUAUGCAGGCUGGAUCUUGGAGUUAUAACAGAACUGAAAAGUGGUUCCAAGUGCUCUUUAAUUUGUAAAAACAUUUUCAAAGUUAAUUCAAGAAUAUUACUUUCAUCAAAGAGAAUGAAACAAUGGUAACACUUUCUCAGCCCUGUCAUAAACAAUCCAGUUUAGAAUACAAUCUAAAAGGCUCAUUGACAUUAUGUAAGUGCUCACAUCCAAAUCCAUCAAAUUUCAUUCAAGCACUUUCCACAUUUUCAUUUACUGUUGCCCAAUUUAUGAUCUUUUUUUUCAUAUCAGAAAACUGAUAAUUGAAUGCCCAAUAAUUUCAAGAAACUAAAAAUUAGGUAAAUAAUCUUUUUAC